UAUAGUGCUUUCCAGAACUAUGAAAGCUCAUCAGAAGAUAUGUGGUGUUUUCAGUCCAUUUAUUAUUGGAUUUUAUACACCCUGUAACUAAACUACGUGGAUUGCUCAGCAAUGGAAUUUUAUUUUCUAGUUAAGCUGUACAACAAACAGAAUUUCUAGAGCCCUGUGGAGGGGGAUUUGAUGAAGACAAGUCACUUAGGACUGAACGUUCUAAGGUUUCUGGCUGCCUGAAUAGUUCUAGCGAUGGAUCUCUGUAUUUGUUCUGAUCUACUGCAGAAGGCAGCUUCUCCAACAAUUGAGAGCCAGCAAUAGCCUUCCCAAUAGCCUGGGUUGCUCAGGGAUUUACAUGGAAGAGCUUUGGCCAAUAACUCAAUUAUACGUAAGCCAUUCCCAACACUAGAUGCUUCAGUUGGUGAUAAAGGAUGUUCAGCUUCCACUACUACAUGCUGUUUAUGCUUCUACUAUGUGCUUUUAGCCCUAUGGCAACUUAAGCAAAUAUAGAGUCUUCUUAAGCUGCAGUCGGUCAUGAUGUUUUCAUAUCAACUGACAAAAAACAAAUAUAAUCAGUGAGCUAAUGCUGGAAAGAACGUGAUUUUGGAGAAAAAAGGAAGAAUGUUUUGUUGAAGAGCUUAAAAAGCUAUUCAGAAUAGGCCUACACUGGUCUGAAACUCUACAUUUGGUCAAGGAUGACCUUGAAUUCAUUAUCAUUCUGCUGCCAACUCUCAACAGCUGAGAUUAUAGGCAUGUGUCACCAGUUCUGGCUUUCAUUUUGAAUGUUCCUUGAGCCUUUCAUGUAUGGAUUGUUGAUGAAUCGAUUGGAACUGGAUACCCAUGGUUGCUAGGAAUGAAACCUACAUAUGACCUGGACAGCAGGUCUCUGAAUAGAUCCAGAGAAUGUCCCUGUAAUUUCCUUUAUACAAGAGUCUUCCCAGUUCAAGAGCCUCCUUGCAUGCCAGCUUCAGUG
ensembl:lncRNA